rnacentral:rRNA from 1 species
UAGAGUUUGAUCAUGGCUCAGAUUGAACGCUGGCGGCAGGCCUAACACAUGCAAGUCGAGCGGAAACGAGAAUAGCUUGCUAUUCGGCGUCGAGCGGCGGACGGGUGAGUAAUGCCUGGGAAAUUGCCCUGUUGUGGGGGAUAACCAUUGGAAACGAUGGCUAAUACCGCAUAAUAGCUUCGGCUUAAAGAGGGGGACCUUCGGGCCUCUCGCUUCAGGAUAUGCCCAGGUGGGAUUAGCUAGUUGGUGAGGUAAAGGCUCACCAAGGCGACGAUCCCUAGCUGGUCUGAGAGGAUGAUCAGCCACACUGGAACUGAGACACGGUCCAGACUCCUACGGGAGGCAGCAGUGGGGAAUAUUGCACAAUGGGCGCAAGCCUGAUGCAGCCAUGCCGCGUGUAUGAAGAAGGCCUUCGGGUUGUAAAGUACUUUCAGCAGUGAGGAAGGGUGUGUAGUUAAUAGCUGCAUACUUUGACGUUAGCUCCAGAAGAAGCACCGGCUAACUCCGUGCCAGCAGCCGCGGUAAUACGGAGGGUGCGAGCGUUAAUCGGAAUUACUGGGCGUAAAGCGCAUGCAGGUGGUUUGUUAAGUCAGAUGUGAAAGCCCGGGGCUCAACCUCGGAGCCGCAUUUGAAACUGGCAAGCUAGAGUACUGUAGAGGGGGGGGUAGAAUUUCA